AUGGGGCUCUGGAACUACGGCCGCAAUGGCAAGCACGACCGCGAGGCUGGCUCCUCGUCGGGGCGUUGCCGCGGCUCGGUGAAGAAGGAGGAGCCGGCCUCGCCAUCGCCACCACGCCGGGCCCCCUCGCCGCCCGCGUUCUCCAUCGCCCCCGCGUCCGCCGGCGAGCGCGACCGGCACUACAUCCGCGCUGAGGUGUGCCGCCGUUAUUGGGAGACGAGGACGCCGAUCCCCUGGAGCGACGCCCACCUCCCCAACAACUGGCAUUUGUCGGCCGACCACGUGCCGAUCCCGUCGGUCCCGGUGACCGGCCGUGCGCGCCGCCAGGAGAUCGAGUGCCGCCGCCGCCUCCUCCCGGACGACCCCUACUACGAUCCCAGGUACGCCCCCGACUCGCCAUUGUGGGACACCUGGUUCCGCGAUGAGCACGACGCGCGGCGGGCGUCCUAUUUCGCCGGCACGUCGACGGGGCCACGGCGGCCACGCCCAGAUGGCCGAGCGGCCGCUCCCCAGGAGCGCGGGCGUAGGGUGGUGCGCGGCCUCACGCCCACGCCGUCGCCAUCUCCAUCGCCACCACCACCUCCUCGCAUGACGGCGGAGGAGGAAGCCCGUCUCGUGCAGCGUGUCAUGGAGGACUCCAUGCGCACGCACGACGAGCGGCAAUGGGAUGGCUUGGAGGAGGCCAUGGCACUGUCUGCCGCCGGCGACGUGGCCUUCCCGGAGCUGCAGAUGGCGGCCUUGACGGAGGAGAGGAGGGAGGACGCCAUGGAGGAGGAGCCGGCGGCCGCCUUCCAGUAG
rnacentral:rRNA from 1 species